rnacentral:rRNA from 1 species
GACGUAGGAUGCGAGCGUUGUCCGGAUUUAUUGGGCGUAAAGAGCUCGUAGGCGGUGUGUCGCGUCGGCCGUGAAAACCUGGGGCUCAACUCUGGGCGUGCGGUCGAUACGGGCAUCACUUGAGUUCGGCAGGGGAGACUGGAAUUCCUGGUGUAGCGGUGAAAUGCGCAGAUAUCAGGAGGAACACCGGUGGCGAAGGCGGGUCUCUGGGCCGAUACUGACGCUGAGGAGCGAAAGCAUGGGUAGCGAACAGG